AUGUGCCCCGCCGAGCUCCGGUCCGGCGGCGGCGCGGCCUGCCGGAGCGCGUGCGACGCGUUCGGGCGGCCCGAGUACUGCUGCAGCGGCGCGUACGCCAACCCCGGGACGUGCCGGCCGACGUCCUACUCGCAGGUGUUCAAGAUGGCCUGCCCGCGCUCCUACAGCUACGCCUUCGACGACCCCACCUCCACCUUCACCUGCGCCGGCGGCCCCGACUACACCGUCACCUUCUGCCCCGGCGCCACCCCGAGCCAGAAGUCGACCACGGUGCCGGCGGCCACAACGCCGACGCAGACGACGCCCACGCCGACGACGGUGCCUCGGACGGAGACGCCGACAACGACGGUGCCCGGGACGGAUAUGCCGGGGAUGAUGCCGGGGAUGACGUUCACGGACGCCAACCCGGACAGCAUGCCGAUGCCGAUGGGCGGCGAGGCCGGCACUGGUGGCGGUGGCAGCAUCCAGGGGCAGGGCGUGAUCCUCGGGGGCGCCAGCAGCGACGCCUGGCUCGCCAACAUGGCCACCGGCGACGUGAGUGGCGCGGCAGCGACACCACACCCGGUAGCCUCGGCGCGGCUAGUCGCCGUGCCAUUGGCGUUGCUCGUGCUCCAUCUGCUGCGGUAG
rnacentral:rRNA from 1 species